rnacentral:piRNA from 1 species
UGAUGGAAUUGAUGUGGGUACAAUGCCUCC